AACGAACGCUGGCGGCAGGCUUAACACAUGCAAGUCGAGCGCCACGCCAGUGGAUCGGCGGUCUGGUGGGUAGCGCGUGGGGACGUACCUUUUGGUUCAGCACAACCUCGGGAAACUGGAGCUAUCACGGAAUAAGACCUAACGGGGAAAGAUAUAUCGCCGAACGAUCGGCCCGAGUCUGAUUAGCUGCUUGUGGGGGUGACGGCGCACCACAGCGACGAGCAGUAGCUGGUCUGAGAGGAGGAUCAGCCACACUGGGACUGAGACACAGCCCAGACUCCUACGCGAGGGAGGAGUGGGGAAUAUAGGACAAUGGGCGCAAGCCUGAUCCAGCCAUGCCGCGUGAGUGAUGAAGGCCUUAGGGUUAUAAAGCUCUUUUGUCCGGGAAGAUACUGACGGUACCGGAAGAAUAAGCCCCGGCUAACUUCGUG
rnacentral:rRNA from 1 species